ACAAAAGGAUAAAGUAGAUAAAUUAUUAAAAGGAAUCGAAGAAAAUUUCGAAAAACAAGACUUUGACCCAGAAUUUGAAUUAACAAAUAAUGGAAAAUACGUCCUAUCAUUUAACACAUAUUAUAUAAUGAAAAACUAUAUAAUUACUAUCAAUUUUACACCUAAUAAACUAAAAACAGAUUAAGAAUAACACUCUCUUAUUAAUAAGAACAGGUGUUAUUCUUAAACCAGUCGGAAAGAGUAAUGCAAUUGGGUUCAAGUCCCAUCUCCGACCAUGAGGCGCUUACCCUAAAUAAUAGGUGGGUGCCUCAUAUCCACAUAAUCACUUUAGUAUUUCAGUACGUUUUAAUUUGAAUGAUGUAACACUUAAUUAUUAUUAUUAGAACUACAAAAGUAGCCAAUAUAUUCAACAGGGAAAGGAAACUUCCAUAACUCUUAAUAGAAAAUAAAAAUUAUAACUCAAGUAUAGGCGAUAGAAAGAGUUACCGCUUACCAUUUAAAUAAUAUAGUUAUUAUUUAAAAGUAAUCCAAAUUUUAGCUAAAAUGAAUCAUCAUAUCAAUAGUGAAAAGUACUGUGAAGGAAAAAUUAAACAAAACUGAAUUAAAGUCAGAUAAUAAUAUCUUACCUUUUGCAUCAUGAGUCAACAAAUUCAAAUUAGAAGCAAAAUAAUUAUUGCAAUUAAUUUAUUAUAAGUUUUUUAUUUGAUACCCGAAGACAUGUGAGCUAUAGUUUUCCUGUUUUAAACUCUUCUAACUUAGAAGAAAUUAAGAGAACGAACCAGUGACUUCUGCAAUAGUCUUGGAUGAGGAAACUAUAGAGGUGAAAUUCCAAUACGAACAUGUUGAUAGCUGGCUCCCAAAGAAAAUAAUAUUAGUUAUAGAAACUAUUUGACUUAAUUUUUCUUUAAACCUAACUACUGCGGAUGCGGGCCCUAACCGGUUACAAUUUCGUGGUAACGUAAUAAGGUUUAUUUUAUCAUUGUUUACUUGGAUAUCGGGCGACCAGGUCCCUUAUCAAAUUGGAAACAGCCAUUUAUACCAGUAUAAGUCUUCUAUAUUUCGCAACUUUUAAGGAAAAAAGUUCAAUGUUUUACAAUAGAUAGGCCCGCAGUCAGCCACUCUUUUGAGAAAGCGUUAUAGCUCGAUCUAAAUGAAUACUUUUUCUUAAAAUAUUUGAGAAUUUCGAAAUUACUCUUACUGUAUACUUCUAUUUGGGCAUUUAAUGUUUAUUAUACUAAUAUCUUAGUAACACUAAUUUGACCUAAUUGUUAAUUUAUUGCAAUUUGAGCAAAUUAUAUUACAUAUAAUUUAUUUACAUUAAAGUGAUGAUGUUGAUAUAAGUUUUUUUCAUUUAUUAUGAGUCGAAAUUUUAGAAGUUUAGACACGUUUCUAAAAGAAGAAUUCCCAAAUAGAAUUCUUCUUAUUUGCUCUUAGGUACCAGUAUUUUUUCUAAAGAAUUACUAUUUACAACGUUUCACCUAACUCUAGAAAAUUAUGACUUCAGGUUUAAUCACCCAUAAGGAACUCGGCAAAUUUUUAUUGGGAUAAAUUUUUUUUCCAGAUUUUAUAUAAUUAAUUUUUUACUAAUUUUUUAUUGAACAAAUAAUUAAUUGUAAAUACCUUUAUCUCAUUUUUAUAUGUAUUUAUUGUGCGACUGUUUACCUAAAACAUAGGUAGGAGAUAACGUUCAAAUUUACUAAUUCCUAUCGUAUCCUUCCAAAUGGUUCAUUUAUAAUUUGAUUUUUAAUUUUGAAAGUCAAAAUAAGGAUAACCCAAUGGAGGGCCUAACUCUGAGGCUCCUAAGGUAGCGAAAUUCCUCGGCUGUUAAUUGCAGUCCCGCAUGAAGGAGGCACGACACAUAAACUGUCUCAGGGGUGAGUCCAAGCUAAAUUGAACUUUAGGUGCAAAUUCCUGUUUUAACUAAAAGUCGAAAAGACCCUACGAAGCUUUACCGUUACCUGUCAUCUUAAUCUGUUUCAUGUUCUUAUAGAAUAGGAUGUGAAUCUCUUUCUCCUUGAAAUACAUCCAUCUUUACACUUAUGAUACUUUUGAUUGGUAGACAGUUUGCCUGGGGCUGGCUGCUAUUAUAAUUCAAAAUAGCUGAACUAUGGUUGUUCUAUUAAUGAUAUUACAGCCUGACUGCUUGAAUCUGUAUUCAUGCAGGAACGUAAGUUGGUCAUAUUGAUCCGGAUUCAUUGUUGGAUUCUGUUUCCGCUCAACCGCGAGAAGCUACUCUAGGGAUAACAGGCUACUCUCGGGGGAGAGACCUUAUUGAUCUCGAGGUUGGGUUCCUCGAUGUCGGCUGACCUCAUCCUAGGGGUGGAGAAGCUCCUAAGGGUAGGACUGUUCGUCCUUUAAAGAGGUACCUGGCUGGGUUCAUUACGUCGCAAGACAGUAAGGCUUCUUCCUUUAGUUUAUUCUUAUUUAAUCAAUUGAACUUUUGUACGAAAGGACCUGGUCAUCUAUUAGCAGUUUUAUACAUUUCAAGCUAUAAUUUCUAAUUGAUUCACCUGAAGAAAUUUUGAUUCAAUAUAAAUCUUUUUUGGAAUACGUUCUUCUUUUCUUUUUCUAUCUUUCUUUAUUUUUUUUAGACCCGGUCGAAUAAUUGGUCAAUUCACAUCUCUUUCACGGAUGAAAUCUAAGUUCAAUUCUUAGCUGGGUUAUAUUUAAUCUAUUUAGUCUAUUUAGUCUACAAUGAUGAAAUUUAAAUAU
rnacentral:rRNA from 1 species